AUUGAACGCUGGCGGCAUGCUUUACACAUGCAAGUCGAACGGCAGCGCGGGCUUCGUCCUGGCGGCGAGUGGCGAACGGGUGAGUAAUGCAUCGGAACGUGCCCAGUAGGGGGGGAUAGCCCGGCGAAAGCCGGAUUAAUACCGCAUACGACCUGAGGGUGAAAGCGGGGGACCGAAAGGCCUCGCGCGCUUGUGGCGGCCGAUGUCGGAUUAGCCAGUUGGUGGGGUGAAGGCUGACCAAGGCGGCGAUCCGUAGCUGGUCUGAGAGGACGAGCAGCCACACUGGGACUGAGACACGGCCAAGACUCCUACGGGAGGCAGCAGUGGGGAAUUUUGGACAAUGGGGGCAACCCUGAUCCAGCCAUGCCGCGUGCGGGAAGAAGGCCUUCGGGUUGUAAACCGCUUUUGUUCGGGAAGAAAUCCUCUGGGCUAAUACCCCGGGGGGAUGACGGUACCGGAAGAAUAAGCACCGGCUAACUACGUG
rnacentral:rRNA from 1 species